rnacentral:rRNA from 1 species
ACUAAUAUAAAAUUUUAGUUCCUUGUAUUAUUAAUAGCUAUGUUCUUUAAAAUAAAAAAAUUUGGCGGUGAUUUAUCUUAUUAGAGGAAUCUGUUUUUUAAUCGAUACAACACGUUAAAUUUUACUUAUUUUAAAAGUUUGUAUACCGUCAUUAAGAUUGGUUUGGGAAAAUCUAUUAAAAUUAAUAAUUUAAAUAAAUUAGAUCAAGGUGCAGCGUAUAAAUAAGAUAAAAUGGAUUACAAUAAUUUUAAAUUAUUUGGAUAAUUUUAUGAAAUUUAGGGUUUGAAAUAGGAUUUAAUAGUAUAAUUAUUAUAAUAUAAUAAUUAGAAGUUAGCUCUAAAUUAUGU